GCUGCCAGUCCUACUCCUCAACUCUAAUAGAUGGGCCCCAGGCCCACACCUGUGCUGGGGCUGUGCGCAUGGGUAUCCGGGAACUAAACCCUCCACCAUUCCACCUUUCCGGAAGUGGCCCCAGCGCCCCUGGGAUGGGCGACCUCCCUGAGUAGGUGCUGAUUCCUGUAGGUGACAAGCCGUGGCUCCAGCAAAUCACUGACCCCACUUACGCAGCUCAGUCUUGGAAGCACUGAGUCCUCCCAGAGACUGAGAUUUUCCAUCCAUGAAGCUACCAGACGGAUCUGCAAAGCCAACUUUGGAUCAUCGUCUUGUCCAGUUAAUGAACAUGCAUUUCAAAUCCACCUCCUCAGAAAAGUGAGUCUGGAAACCAAGGUAACUAUUUUUCACUUUACUGUUUUUAGAGCUAUUAGUUUUCUAUAUUCUUGACUCAAAAAUUUCAUACAGAUGCUGUCUUAGUCCAUUCAGGCUGCUAUGAUAAA
rnacentral:lncRNA from 1 species